AACCAGACUCCUACGGGAGGCAGCAGUGGGGAAUAUUGCACAAUGGGGGAAACCCUGAUGCAGCAACGCCGCGUGAGUGAAGAAGUCAUUCGUGAUGUAAAGCUCUAUCAGCAGGGAAGAAAAUGACGGUACCUGACUAAGAAGCCCCGGCUAACUACGUGCCAGCAGCCGCGGUAAUACGUAGGGGGCAAGCGUUAUCCGGAUUUACUGGGUGUAAAGGGAGCGUAGACGGUGAUGCAAGUCAGAAGUGAAAGCCCGGGGCUCAACUCCGGGACUGCUUUUGAAACUGUGUGACUGGAGUGCAGGAGAGGUAAGCGGAAUUCCUGGUGUAGCGGUGAAAUGCGUAGAUAUCAGGAGGAACACCAGUGGCGAAGGCGGCUUACUGGACUGUAACUGACGUUGAGGCUCGAAAGCGUGGGGAGCAAACAGGAUUAGAUACCCCUGUAUC
rnacentral:rRNA from 1 species